AUUGAACGCUGGCGGCAUGCCUUACACAUGCAAGUCGAACGGUGACAGGUCUUCGGAUGCUGACGAGUGGCGAACGGGUGAGUAAUACAUCGGAACGUGCCCGAGAGUGGGGGAUAACGAGGCGAAAGCUUUGCUAAUACCGCAUACGAUCUCAGGAUGAAAGCAGGGGACCGCAAGGCCUUGCGCUCACGGAGCGGCCGAUGGCAGAUUAGGUAGUUGGUGGGAUAAAAGCUUAUCAAGCCGACGAUCUGUAGCUGGUCUGAGAGGACGACCAGCCACACUGGGACUGAGACACGGCCCAGACUCCUACGGGAGGCAGCAGUGGGGAAUUUUGGACAAUGGGCGCAAGCCUGAUCCAGCCAUGCCGCGUGCAGGAUGAAGGCCUUCGGGUUGUAAACUGCUUUUGUACGGAACGAAAAGACUCCUUCUAAUAAAGGGGGUCCAUGACGGUACCGUAAGAAUAAGCACCGGCUAACUACGUGCCAGCCGCCGCCGUAAUAC
rnacentral:rRNA from 1 species